AUACGGAGGAUGCGAGCGUUAUCCGGAUUUAUUGGGUUUAAAGGGAGCGUAGGUGGGAUAUUAAGUCAGCUGUGAAAGUUUGGGGCUCAACCUUAAAAUUGCAGUUGAUACUGGUUUCCUUGAGUACGGUAUAGGUGGGCGGAAUUCGUGGUGUAGCGGUGAAAUGCUUAGAUAUCACGAAGAACUCCGAUCGCGAAGGCAGCUCACCGGGCCGGAACUGACACUGAUGCUCGAAAGUGCGGGUAUCAAACAGGAUUAGAUACCCUGGUAGUCCGCACAGUAAACGAUGAAUACUCGCUGUUUGCGAUACACUGUAAGCGGCCAAGCGAAAGCGUUAAGUAUUCCACCUGGGGAGUACGCCGGCAACGGUGAAACUCAAAUGAAUUGACGGGG
rnacentral:rRNA from 1 species